UCCGUAGGUGAACCUGCGGAAGGAUCAUUACCUAGAGUUUGUGGGCUUUGCCCACUGUCUCUUACCCAUGUCUUUUGAGUACUUACGUUUCCUCGGUGGGCUCGCCCGCCGGUUGGACAAUUUAAACCAUUUGCAGUUGCAAUCAGCGUCUGAAAAACAUAAUAGUUACAACUUUCAACAACGGAUCUCUUGGUUCUGGCAUCGAUGAAGAACGCAGCGAAAUGCGAUAAGUAGUGUGAAUUGCAGAAUUCAGUGAAUCAUCGAAUCUUUGAACGCACAUUGCGCCCCUUGGUAUUCCAUGGGGCAUGCCUGUUCGAGCGUCAUUUGUACCUUCAAGCUCUGCUUGGUGUUGGGUGUUUGUCUCGCCUUGCGCGUAGACUCGCCUCAAAUCCAUUGGCGGCCCUCACGUCGGCUUCGAGCGCAGCAGAAACGCGAACUCGUGGCUCGGCGGAGCGGCUCCCAGAAGCUACUCUCACCAUUUUGACCUCGGAUCAGGUAGGGAUACCCGCUGAACUUUAAAGCAUAUCAAAUAAGCGGGAAGGGAAGUCGGACUGGCCAAGGGGCACACCAGGGGGGGGGGAUA
rnacentral:rRNA from 1 species